CUUUAGUGUGGUGGUUGGAAAGUUUUUUCGGUGCAAGAUGAGCUCGCGGCCUAUCAGCUUGUUGGUGGGGUAAUGGCCUACCAAGGCGUCGACGGGUAGCCGGCCUGAGAGGGUGUACGGCCACAUUGGGACUGAGAUACGGCCCAGACUCCUACGGGAGGCAGCAGUGGGGAAUAUUGCACAAUGGGCGGAAGCCUGAUGCAGCGACGCCGCGUGGGGGAUGACGGCCUUCGGGUUGUAAACUCCUUUCGACAGGGACGAAGC
rnacentral:rRNA from 2 species